UACGGAGGAUGCGAGCGUUAUCCGGAUUUAUUGGGUUUAAAGGGUGCGUAGGCGGUUUAUUAAGUCAGCGGUGAAAGUUUGAGGCUCAACCUUAAAAUUGCCGUUGAAACUGGUAGACUUGAGUAUAGAUGAAGUAGGCGGAAUUAGUGGUGUAGCGGUGAAAUGCAUAGAUAUCACUAGGAACUCCGAUAGCGAAGGCAGCUUACUAAGGUAUAACUGACGCUGAUGCACGAAAGUGUGGGUAUCAAACAGGAUUAGAUACCCUGGUAGUCCACACAGUAAACGAUGAUUACUAGUUGUUUGCGAUAUACAGUAAGUAACUAAGCGAAAGCGAUAAGUAAUCCACCUGGGGAGUACGCCGGCAACGGUGAA
rnacentral:rRNA from 1 species